UAUGUGAUCGUCUCUCGCAUAUCAAUAAGCGGAGGAAAAGAAACUAACAAGGAUUCCCCUAGUAACGGCGAGUGAAGCGGGAAGAGCUCAAAUUUGAAAUCUUAAAGGGUUUCCCUUUACGAAUUGUAGUUUAAAGAAGUGUUUUCUGUUGAGGUUUUGGUAAAAGUUCUUUGGAAUAGGACAUCAUAGAGGGUGAGAAUCCCGUAUUUGACCUUUACUUUCAACUUUGUGAUACACUUUCAAAGAGUCGGAUUGUUUGGGAAUGCAGUCCAAAAUGGGUGGUAAAUUUCAUCUAAAGCUAAAUAUUGGCGAGAGACCGAUAGCGAACAAGUACCGUGAGAGAAAGAUGAAAAGAACUUUGAAAAGAGAGUUAAACAGUACGUGAAAUUGUCAAGAGGGAAGCGUUUGACACCAGUGUUGUUUUUCUGAAAAUCAAUUAAAGAACUGUUUAUGCUAAGCUGUUUAGACUUUAUCAGCUAUCUGUUUAGUUUUGAGCUUUUCUUUAAUGCACUUUUCAGUUAACAAGUCAACAUCAAUUUCUUUUGCUGUAAAAAAGCUUGAGGAAGGUGGCUUGAGAUUCGUCUUAAGUGUUUAUAGCCUCUUGCCUAUGCAGUCGGAGAGAUUGAGGUCUGCAGCGUAGAUCCUUCGGGGCUAAAUGCAUUUGUGCUAAGUUAUAGCAUUUUAUAGACAACUUGUUGACUAUGAUUUGUCUUGUAGCUUACUCGCUUAUGUUACUUUUACCUACGCUUAGGAUGUUGAGUAGCGACAUACGCAC
rnacentral:rRNA from 1 species